CUUUGGAGUGGAGAGGUGAAGGUCUCGCGCCGCUACACCAGUGGGUAAGGAGGGCAAUCACACUUUGGACAAGGUGGUUGGCAGCCCUGGAAUACUCAAUAGACAGAUGGAUCAAAGUUGGCUGAUCCAAGAUUGAAAGGAUCUGUGUUUUGUCAGACUUGUGCCAGUGGCAUGUGAUGAAGGCACUGCAAUUACUAAGUGCAAAGGUUUCUCACAGAUGGUGUGCAUUAAUUAAGAAGUUGCUUGGAAUUCAGGUAUUUUUGUAUUUUUAAAAUGUGGUCAGAUAUCUGUAGGAUAGACCAAUCAAAGAUCUAUUUCAGAAUAUUGCUUGUCCCAAAUGCCAGGAAAGGGAUUUUCUGCAACAAUCAAAUAUCUAAUAAAAAAAUAAAAGUUUAUAUAAAUAUAUUUUAGACAAGUUUCCAGUCCUGUCAUAUUCAUCAAUCAGCAAUACAGAAUUUAGUCAUUAUAUACAGUUACAUAUAUAGAUAUUACAUUCAAAUAUGUAAAUAUUUAUGUAUAUUAUUACAAAUAAUAAAGCUUGGUACAUUUUUCUUAA
rnacentral:lncRNA from 1 species